rnacentral:rRNA from 1 species
UACGGGGGGGGCGAGCGUUGUUCGGAUUUACUGGGCGUAAAGGGCGCGUAGGCGGCCAGCGCAAGUCAGUUGUGAAAUCUCCGGGCUUAACUCGGAACGGUCAACUGAUACUGCGCGGCUAGAGUGCAGAAGGGGCAACUGGAAUUCUCGGUGUAGCGGUGAAAUGCGUAGAUAUCGAGAGGACCACCUGCGGCGAAGGCGGGUUGCUGGGCUGACACUGACGCUGAUGCGCGAAAGCCAGGGGAGCGAACGGG